GGAGGUGAGGGAGAUCUGGCUGCGACGUCUGUCACCUCAUUGAUUGCCAGGAUUGACUCAGCUGAUCUGGCUACAUGGGUGUCCCUUUCCUCCCUCACCACUCCGUGUGCGUCCCUCCCGAAGCUGCACGCUCUGUCAAAGAGGGACUUGGUCUUCAGUGGAGGGUAUAAGAGUAGCUACGCACCCCUGCUAGAACCUCUAAACAAGCUCUCAAGAGUCUAUAUUUAUACCUAAUAUUUCAUUGGUUUUGUUUAUUUAUCCAUUUAUUUGUUUAUAUGAUAUUUAAGU
rnacentral:snRNA from 1 species